rnacentral:rRNA from 1 species
UGCGCAGGUGGGCUUGUAAGUCAGUGGUGAAAUACUGCCGCUUAACGGUAGAACUGCCAUUGAUGCUGCAAGUCUUGAGUAUGGUUGAGGUAGGCGGAAUGUGUUGUGUAGCGGUGAAAUGCAUAGAUAUGACACAGAACUCCAAUUGCGAAGGCAGCUUACUAAGCCAUUACUGACGCUGAGGCACGAAAGCGUGGGGAGCGAACAGGAUUAGAUACCCUGGUAGUCC